UCUUCCAGUAGGUGGAGCUGUGCCCUCCGAGCUGAGCUUCUGCCCUCUAUUUGCCGAUAGCAAUCCCUAUAAGGCGGCUCCUGGGAGUCUCUCAAUCCUGUUAGUCCAGAGCCGUUUCACUUCUCCGGACCCUCCCCCCCUUCCUCCUGCCAUCCAGCCAGCCAGGUCCUGUUCUCCAGAGGCGGUUCCCCAAAGAUCUGGAUACACUUGCAGCCCCACCGUGUGUCCUAUUUCCCGAACGACUGAGCGCUCUCUCCGUCAUUCAUCUAAGCCCCAGUGCUGUGGUGCGGUGAUCUGGGGACCAACAGUUUAAUUUUUCUGGACCCCUUUGGUGGGCAUGCCCCCGGAAACUGGCAGCUAAGACCUUGGGUGUCCCGCUGGUGGUAAGGGGAGUUGGGGAUUGGGAAUCCCCUCUGCUUCCCUACAGACACGCCCCCAGGGAGAUUCCCGAGGUUUCCUGGCUGCUUGUAUCUGGAGGGGGUGGGAGUCACACACCUGCUAAAGUGGAUUUCGCUGGGAAGGAAUUCCGUCG
rnacentral:lncRNA from 1 species